rnacentral:rRNA from 1 species
AGAGUUUGAUCCUGGUUCAGAAUCAACGCUGGCGGCGUGCCUCAGACAUGCAAGUCGAACGCGAAAGUCCCCUUCGGGGGACAAGUAGAGUGGCGCACGGGUGAGUAACACGUAGGUAAUCUACCUUCGGAUGGGGAAUAACAACCGGAAACGGUUGCUAAUACCGCAUAAUGCAGCGGCACCUAAUGGUGACAGUUGUUAAAGCGGGGGAUCGAAAGACCUCGCGUCUGAAGAGGAGCCUGCGGCGGAUUAGCUAGUUGGUAAGGUAAUGGCUUACCAAGGCUACGAUCCGUAACCGGCCUGAGAGGGCGGUCGGUCACACUGACACUGACAUACGGGUCAGACUCCUACGGGAGGCAGCAGUCGGGAAUUUUGGGCAAUGGGCGAAAGCCUGACCCAGCAACGCCGCGUGAAGGAUGAAAUCCCUCGGGAUGUAAACUUCGCAAGAACGGGAAGAAUAAGUAGGGGACAAUACCCCCUAUGAUGACGGUACCAUUUGUAAGCUCCGGCUAACUCCGUGCCAGCAGCCGCGGUAAUACGGGGGGAGCAAGCGUUGUUCGGAUUUACUGGGCGUAAAGGGCGCGUAGGCGGCAGUGCAAGUAAGGUGUGAAAUCUCCCUGCUCAACGGGGAGGGUGCACUUUAGACUGCACAGCUCGAGGUCGGUAGAGGGGGGUGGAAUUGCUGGUGUAGCGGUGAAAUGCGUAGAGAUCAGCAGGAACACCCGUGGCGAAGGCGGCCCCCUGGGCCGUACCUGACGCUGAGGCGCGAAAGCGUGGGGAGCAAACAGGAUUAGAUACCCUGGUAGUCCACGCCGUAAACUAUAGGUGCUAGCCGUCAGGAAGCUUGCUUUUUGGUGGCGCAGCUAACGCAUUAAGCAUUCCGCCUGGGGAGUACGGUCGCAAGACUGAAACUCAAGGAAUUGACGGGGACCCGCACAAGCGGUGGAGCAUGUGGUUUAUUCGACGCAACGCGAGUACCUUACCUGGGCUAGAAUGCCUCUGACACCCUAGAGAUAGGGCUUCUGGUAAAACAGAACGAAGUGCAAGGUGCUGCAUGCUGUCGCCUAGCUCUGGUCUGUGGAUGUGGCUAGUCCCGCACAGAGCGCCAACCUCACACAUAGUUGGCCAGAAUUAGAACUGGAACUGAUUCCUCAGAUCUAGUACGAUACCGUACAGAGUGUCAUGCACGU